UUUCUUUUCUUUUUCGUACAAUAUUUCUCUUCUCCUCUAUUGUGCAAUUUUUAUUUUCGUUCUCACUCCUUCCCGUUCUCCCUCCUUCGUUCUCUUUCAUUCUCCGAGCCAAACCCUAACCAGUUCCGUUCCGAACUGAAAACCAGAGAGAAACACUGAGAUUCAUUCAAUCACCUUAACUUAAAUGCGUGUAAUUACGCAUUGCGUCGAGGGAACUUCGAUCUUCGAUAUCAACGAUGGAUGCGUGGACCGAAGAUUUUGUGGAGCAGGAGAUUGAGAACUCCGCAGAAUCGUUCCAUAAGUUUUUGCUUUCGCAGAGAGAUCUCUUGCACAACUAGAUCGAUCAGUUUGAGGAAAUCGUCGUCACGCAAUGCAAACUCACCGGCGUCAACCCUCUCUCUCAAGAAAUGGCAGUUGAUGCUUUUUUUUGCAGGCUUGUACACAAUUAUACUCUUUGUUUCAUAUUGAAUGUCUCUGACUUAAUCCAAAUUUGCAGGAAGAAAAACCUAGGGAUUUAUUGAAUCCAAAGCCUGACCUAGAUGAUUCAGAUAAACAUUUUGUUGUUAAUAUUUUUAGUUUAAUGCAACAAGAAGAGACAUUUUUCGGGCAAGAGAAAUUGAUGGAGUAGAUAUUGACGAUACAAAAUUUUUCAAUAUUGUUGUGGUUUUUUAGCAGAGGCGGUGGAAUAACUUUAGCUACUUGGUUGAGUAAGACAAUUGCUAAGGAGCAAACCAGUGUCCUUCUUCUUAUCUUGAAGGUUCUUUGUCCUUUGCCUUUACAUAAAGCCAUUCCCAUGCACAUAUCAGCUAUAUUGCAGAGUGUAAAUAAACUUCGGUUCUACAGGACAUGAGACAUAUCAAACAGGGUAAGGAUUUUGUUAUCAAAGUGGAACAAAUUAUUAGCGAGGAACCAAGUAAUAAAGAAGCCCAAUGGUGUUAGGCCUUCUAGUGAUGGGCAUAAAGAGUUGAUUUCUCAGAGGCAAGCUUGCAUUCUCUUUUCCAUGAACAAUUUGUUUAGACAUUCUUUCUCAAUUAUUAUGGUUUCUACUU